AACGAACGCUGGCGGCAGGCCUAACACAUGCAAGUCGAGCGCCCCGCAAGGGAGCGGCGGACGGGUGAGUAACGCGUGGGAACGUGCCUCUUGCUACGGAAUAGCCUCGGGAAACUGGGAGUAAUACCGUAUGUGCCCUACGGGGGAAAGAUUUAUCGGCAAGAGAUCGGCCCGCGUUGGAUUAGGUAGUUGGUGGGGUAAUGGCCUACCAAGCCGACGAUCCAUAGCUGGUUUGAGAGGAUGAUCAGCCACACUGGGACUGAGACACGGCCCAGACUCCUACGGGAGGCAGCAGUGGGGAAUCUUAGACAAUGGGCGCAAGCCUGAUCUAGCCAUGCCGCGUGAGCGAUGAAGGCCUUAGGUUGUAAAGCUCUUUCAGUGGGAAGAUAAUGACUGUACCCACAGAAGAAAGCCCGGCUAACUCCGUGCCAGCAGCGCGGUAAAGUCGAUAUCG
rnacentral:rRNA from 1 species